UACGUAGGUGGCAAGCGUUGUCCGGAUUUACUGGGCGUAAAGAGCGCGCAGGCGGUCGGAUCAGUCGAAUGUGAAAGCCCCCGGCUCAACUGGGGAGGGUCAUUCGAUACUGUCCGACUCGAAGGCAGGAGAGGGAAGCGGAAUUCCCGGUGUAGUGGUGAAAUGCGCAGAUAUCAGGAGGAACACCGGUGGCGAAGGCGGUUCUCUGGGCAUUACCUGACGCUGAGGAGCGAAAGUGUGGGGAGCGAACAGG
rnacentral:rRNA from 1 species